CUGGGCGCGCGCCGCGGC
rnacentral:miRNA from 1 species